UGUGUGUGUGUGAGAGAGAGAGAGAGACUACAGAGAGAGAGAGAGACAGAUGUACUCACCUUUGGAGUAUUUUUUUCUAACUCAGAACUGUACAGUGAAUAAAACAGGAUUCAGGUGAUGCUCA